UACGUAGGUGGCAAGCGUUGUCCGGAUUUACUGGGCGUAAAGAGCGCGCAGGCGGUCGAUCAAGUCGCGUGUGGAAGCCCCCGGCUCAACUGGGGAGGGUCACGCGAUACUGAUCGACUCGAAGGCAGGAGAGGGUAGUGGAAUUCCCGGUGUAGUGGUGAAAUGCGUAGAUAUCGGGAGGAACACCAGUGGCGAAGGCGACUACCUGGCCUGUUCUUGACGCUGAGGCGCGAAAGCUAGGGGAGCAAACGGG
rnacentral:rRNA from 1 species